rnacentral:tRNA from 1 species
CGGUGCCCAGCAGGCGGUGCUGCCGCCGUUCCUGGUGCGGACGGUCGGGUUGACCGCCGGCACCAUGGGUGUGUUGUUCUCGCUCGGCAGCCUC